CUUUCCCUCAUCUCCAGCUCACUGUACAAAUGUUCAACGUUGUGACAAAAAACCGCAGUGGAGAAAGCACCAAGAAAACCCCGACCCCGCGCCCGAAAACACGUACUGUGACAGAACCUACAGCUCGGCGGUUGAGACGAUUGAUCGAGGAAACUGAUCGGGAGGAUUCACUGACAAGCUGCUUCCCACAUUAGGACAGCAGUGUAGGAUAAAGCAUGACUGAGGAAACAGAUGAGGGCAAGAGACGGGGAGACAAGGGGGAACAUCAAUUCAGGAUGGAUGCUCCCUGUUGAUAUUGCAGUCUGACUAUUACAUGAUACUGCAGUAUUGUUCUUUAAGCAGAGUUGCUACUCUGCUGCCAUCACCUAAA
ensembl:lncRNA